AUUUAUUCCUGCCCGAAGUCAAACUCCGUUACAGGCUACUGGCAAUGAAAAUUACCGAUCAAAAAUUGUGGUUUCAAAAUGUUUGCACGGGGCUGAUAAACUUCAGUGAGCUGUAUCUGAUGUUUCUUGGGGGGUCAGCCAACAGGGCUUUCCCCGAUUUGUUUCCAUGUUUUAGCAAUCCAGAAAAGUCCCCUGUAAGCAGCACCCUUGCGAUGGGACCGUGGGCAUGGCCGCAGUGAGAAUACGGCCGGUUCCAGAGGAAAGCGCUGGGGGAGGAAGACACCCUGUACGAGUGUGUGAAACAUACAGAAAACUCUCCCGUUCAGGGUGUCACGCACAACCUUUUGCAAUGGAUACAAGUUCAGAGAACUCCAAGUGCAGAUCAUCUAACCCUCCUUAAUACCAGACAUUGUUUAUUUGUUGGAAGCAGUUCCCUCUGAAAACUGAAAUGCUUGGAAUUACAGUGGAUUGGUAACAAAAAAAUGAUGCGCUCACCAAAGAGUGUAAAAGGAGAUUGGAUAACUGUGUGAUAACGAUAAAAUACUGUGUGUGUUGCAGAAAAAUC